GCCCCCGUGGUGAAAUGGAUAUCACGCCGGUCUUCGGAACCGUCGUUGUAGGUUCGAGUCCUGCCGGGGGCA
rnacentral:tRNA from 1 species